rnacentral:rRNA from 1 species
CCUACGGGAGGCAGCAGUGAGGAAUAUUGGUCAAUGGACGAGAGUCUGAACCAGCCAAGUAGCGUGAAGGAUGACUGCCCUAUGGGUUGUAAACUUCUUUUAUAUGGGAAUAAAAUGUUCCACGUGUGGGAUUUUGUAUGUACCAUAUGAAUAAGGAUCGGCUAACUCCGUGCCAGCAGCCGCGGUAAUACGGAGGAUCCGAGCGUUAUCCGGAUUUAUUGGGUUUAAAGGGAGCGUAGGUGGAUUGUUAAGUCAGUCGGGAAAGUUUGCGGCUCAACCGUAAAAUUGCAGUUGAAACUGGCAGUCUUGAGUACAGGAGAGGUGGGCGGAAUUCGUGGUGUAGCGGUGAAAUGCUUAGAUAUCACGAAGAACUCCGAUUGCGAAGGCAGCUCACUGGACUGCAACUGACACUGAGGCUCGAAAGUGUGGGUAUCAAACAGGAUUAGAUACCCGUGUAGUC